rnacentral:rRNA from 1 species
GACGAACGCUGGCGGCGCGCUUAACACAUGCAAGUCGAACGGAAAGGCCUGCUUUCCCUUGUGGAUUGCGGGUACUCGAGUGGCGAACGGGUGAGUAACACGUGAGUGAUCUGCCCCCAACUUGGGUAUAAGCCUGGGAAACUGGGUCUAAUUCCCGAUAGGACUGCAGGGUGGUGCCUGUGGUGGAAAACGAUUUUCUAGUGGUUGGGGAUGAGCUCGCGGCCUAUCAGCUUGUUGGUGGGGUAAUGGCCUACCAAGGCGGCGACGGGUAGCCGGCCUGAGAGGGUGGACGGGCACAUUGGGACUGAGAUACGGCCCAGACUCCUACGGGAGGCAGCAGUGGGGAGUAUUGCACAAUGGGCGGAAGCCUGAUGCAGCGACGCCGCGUGGGGGAUGACGGCCUUCGGGUUGUAAACUCCUUUCGACCGCGAGGAAGCCACCUGGUUGGAAGGGUGGUGACGGUAGUGGUAGAAGAAGCACCGGCUAACUACGUG